rnacentral:tRNA from 1 species
GGAGAGGUGCCAGAGUGGCCGAAUGGGACGGUCUCGAAAACCGUUGACGGGGCAACCCGUCCGAGGGUUCAAAUCCCUCCCUCUCCGCCA